rnacentral:rRNA from 1 species
UACGUAGGGUGCGAGCGUUGUCCGGAAUUAUUGGGCGUAAAGGGCUCGUAGGCGGUUUGUCGCGUCGGGAGUGAAAACACCGGGCUUAACUCGGUGCUUGCUUUCGAUACGGGCAGACUAGAGGCAUGCAGGGGAGAACGGAAUUCCUGGUGUAGCGGUGAAAUGCGCAGAUAUCAGGAGGAACACCGGUGGCAAAGGCGGUUCUCUGGGCAUGUCCUGACGCUGAGGAGCGAAAGUGUGGGGAGCGAACAGG